rfam:Lottia gigantea unplaced genomic scaffold LOTGIsca_1, whole genome shotgun sequence.
GGUUUCGUGGUGUAGUGGUUAUCACGUCUGCUUAACACGCAGAAGGUCACGAGUUCGAGCCUCGUCGAAACCU